CUACGGGCCGCACCAGGCUCGAAACCUUUACAAUGCGCGAAAGCGCGAUAGGGGGACUCUGAGUGAAAGCUUUGCUUUCUUUUGCCAACUCUGAAAAGGUUGGAGAAUAAGUGGUGGGUAAGAUACGUGCCAGCCGCCGCGGUAAUACGUACAGCACAAGUGGCAUCCACUCAUAUUGGGCCUAAAACGUCUGUAGCAGGCCCCAAUAGUCCCUGGUGAAAUCUGCUCGCCCAACGAGUAGAAGUGCUAGGGAUACUUUGGGGCUAGAGGCUGGAAGACGCCAAGGGAAUGCCAGGGGUAGCGGUAAAAUGCAGUGAUCCCUGGUGGACCUCCAGUAGCGAAGGCGCUUGGCGAGAACAGACCUGACUGUGAGAGACGAAAGCUGGGGGAGCAACCCGGAUUAGAUACCCUUGUAGUC
rnacentral:rRNA from 1 species